UACGGGGGGGGCAAGCGUUGUUCGGAAUUACUGGGCGUAAAGGGCUCGUAGGCGGCCAACUAAGUCAUACGUGAAAUCCCUCAGCUUAACUGGGGAACUGCGUGUGAUACUGGAUGGCUUGGAUUUGGGAGAGGGAUGCGGAAUUCCAGGUGUAGCGGUGAAAUGCGUAGAUAUCUGGAGGAACCCCGGUGGCGAAGGCGGCAUCCUGGACCAAUAUUGACGCUGAGGAGCGAAAGCCAGGGGAGCAAACGGG
rnacentral:rRNA from 1 species